CUCUUCUCAUCGGUUUUUGAAACUGUACAACAGACACAUGAUGUUCCAUUUGGCACCUACUUUGAAGUUCAUUGUCAAUGGAUUGCAGAGACCAAUGGUGAAAACUCAUCUACUUUAGAUAUCAAAGCAGGUGCACAUAUUAAGAAAUGGUGUGUGAUGUAAUCGAAAAUAAAGUCAGACGCUGUUGA